GGAGUAUUAAUUAAUUUGGCUAAACAGUGAGUUAGUAUAAACCGCCACAUCUGAUAAUUUCCCUCUCGCAUGGCGAAACUCGAGCACUGACUCGCUAACGCAACUCGGCUAACUGAACCAUGAAGUGCCGAUCGGUGGCGUGCAUUUGGUCGGCUACUCCACCGGUUCACAGAGUCACCGCCACCACCGCACUAAACCGGCCCCCGACUUUGUACACCGGUGGAUCAGAUGGCUCCAUUCUCUGGUGGAAUAUCUCUAAUUCGGAGAUUAAACCAGUUGCUAUGCUGUGUGGUCAUGCUGCACCAAUAGCUGAUCUCAGCAUCUGUUAUCCAGUGGUUGUUUCAGAAGAUGAUAGAGAAAUAGAUCAUUCAAGUAAUGCUGGUGCAAGCUCAAUUCCUGAUACUCGUGGUGCCUUGAUAAGCGCAUGCACAGAUGGUGUAUUAUGUGUUUGGAGUAGAGGCAGUGGACAUUGCAGACAUAGAAGAAAAUUGCCCCCUUGGGUUGGUAGUCCAUCCAUCAUUCGUGCAUUACCCACAGGCUCUCGAUAUGUAUGUAUAGGCUGUUGUUUCAGUGACAAUAUCCAUUUUUCUGAUCAUCAUUCUAUUGAUUCUCUUGAAGGGAGUGAGGUUUCUGCAGAUAAAUGGCCCCAGCAUAGAAAAUCACCAAAAUGCACUGUAGUAAUUGUUGAUACUUACAGUCUUGCUAUUGUGCAAACCAUUUUUCAUGGGAAUUUAUCAAUUGGGCCAUUGAGAUUUAUGGAUGUGGUUUUGUCGGGUGAGGAAGGGGAAAAACAUUCUGUUCUUAUGGCUGAUUCAUAUGGAAGGGUACAGUUAGCUUCAAUACUGAAGGAUUCCAAUCUAGAUGGUGAGGGUGGGAGUGACAUACAAAAAAAUUGUCGGUUGGAAGCUUGGGGAGAUGGGGUGAAUGAUGGAGGACAGGUUGUUUCAAUUGCAAGCCGUGGGAACCUUUUUGCUUUUGUUUUGAAAAAUUGCUGCAUAUUUAGGCUAUUGAACAGUGACACUACAAUUGGAGAGAUUUCUUGUCUGGACAAUGUCCUCUCAGUCGAAGGCAAUUCUACUGAAUCAGGUGUACUUGGGGGGAUGUUUCUUGAAAAUGUUGAUGCCGUUAAAUUGCAGAAAUCCCAGGAAGCCCAUGAAAAUUUUUGUGAAAACUUUGUUGUGUGGAACAAUACAGGUUCAGCAAUUGUGUAUACAGUGUCAUAUUUGAAUGAUGUGUUUAAUUGUGAGCUUCUUUUUGAGAUUCCUCCUGCUUCUCAUCCUAAUGAUAUUGGACUUUCCAUUUCUUUCAUCCAGUCUAACAACUAUCUUCUCCGAAUUGAAUCAGUUUGCUUUGACCUUAAAGAUCCUUUACAAUGGACACCACAUGUGACAAUCUGGUCUUUACAUCAAAAACAUGAUAACUCAGGGAAGCUGUCUCAUUGCAAGAUUAUAGGAGAAAGUGAUUUAUCCGCUGAGUGGAUCUCAAGCUCCAGAUUUCUUAAUGAAAUCAAUGGCCACAGUGACAGGAAGAUGAAAAUAUCUUCUUCUCAAAGUUCUCUUUCAUGUUUGGCAAAUGGAAAUAAUAAACAUGCAGAUGAUGGAAGUUGUAGUUUUGCGUACAAGGGACAGACAGUAACUUCUUCCAUGGUUAUUUCUGAAGAUCUUUUUGUUCCUUAUGCUAUUGUAUAUGGCUUCUUUAAUGGUGAAAUUGAGGUUGUACACUUCGAUAUGAUUUUGGGAACAGAUUCUCAUGGCAGAAGUCUGUGUCCUGAUGUAGAUCCAGAUGUAUCCAGAAAAUAUUUAACGGGUCACACUGGUGCUGUACUUUGUUUGGCAGCACACCAGAUGUUGGGAACUGCCAAAGGAUGGAGCUUCAGUCAUGUUUUAGUUUCUGGAAGUAUGGACUGCACGAUUCGCAUAUGGGAUCUUGACACUGGGAAUCUCAUAACGGUGAUGCACCAACAUGUGGCUCCAGUGCGCCAACUUAUCUUCUCCCCCGCACAGACUGAACAUCCGUGGAGUGAUUGCUUUCUCUCUGUUGGGGAGGACUCUUGUGUUUCCCUUGCUUCCCUUGAAACUUUGAGGGUAGAGAGAAUGUUUCCUGGACACCCUAGCUAUCCUGAAAAAGUUGUGUGGGAUGGUGCUAGAGGAUACAUUGCAUGUCUUUGCAAGAGCCAUUCAGGGAAAUCUGAUGCAGUUGAUGUUUUGUACAUUUGGGAUGUAAAAACAGGAGCACGAGAGCGGGUCCUCCAUGGGACUGCUUCUCAUUCAAUGUUGGACCAUUUUUGUAAAGGCGUCAGUGCUAAUUCCAUAUCUGGCUCUAUAUUGAACAGAAAUACUUCAGUUUCCUUGUUACAUCUUCCAGUAAUUGAAGAUGGGAACUCUUCUCAAUCUCACAUAAAUUAUCUGACGAAGAGAGUCGCCUCAUUGAAUACAUUGUCAAGUGUAGCAAAUAUAUUAGAAUCCACUGCUUCACAAGCACAGGUUAAGAGGGGAAUUUCUGCUCCAACUACCUCUUCUUUCCUACAAAACAACAAGUAUCCCAUCAGAUGCACUUGUCCGUUCCCUGGGAUUGCUACUUUCACUUUUGAUCUUGCAUCGUUGAUGUCUCCUUAUCAGAAACAAGAUUCCAUUGUCAAUGACAGUUAUAAGCAGGAGAAUAACAGUGUGAAGGACCUAGGAACCAGCACACCAAGUCCCCGCCAUAUCUCCUUUGGUGAUAGUUCUGAUAAGAAUGGGACCUCUGUUGAUACUACAGAGGAGCAUGAGUGGAUUAGGUCACUAGAAGAACAAUUACUUAGGUUUAGUUUGUCCAUUUUACAUUUGUGGCAUGUAGAUAGUGAGCUUGAUAAACUGCUAAUGCUGGACAUGAAGAUAAAGAUACCAGAUAAUUUUAUUUUAGCUUCUGGUUUGCAAGGGGACAAAGGGUCUUUGACUUUGACAUUUCCUGGUUUGAGUGCUAUCCUUGAGCUAUGGAAAUCAUCAUCAGAGUUUUGUGCUAUGAGAUCCCUGACAAUGGUAUCCAUUGCCCAACGCAUGAUUAGCUUGUCUCCAUCCAGUUCAGCAGCCAGCAGGGCUUUAGCAGCAUUUUAUACUCGGAAUUUUGCAGAACAAGUUCCAGAUAUUAAACCACCUUUACUCCAGCUUUUGGUGAGUUUUUGGCAAGAUGAAAGUGAGCAUGUGCGUAUGGCUGCACGCACUUUAUUUCACUGUGCUGCUUCACGGGCAAUUCCUUUCCCUCUCUGUGGUCAGAGAGCACGUGAUCAUGCAAAACUUUUGAGAUCUCUCAAUGAAAUGGGGAAAAAUGAAGGCAAAGCUUCAAAAAUAGGAGGGAUAUCUGGGAAUGAUUUCUCUGACAUAUCACCUGAAUCACAAGGAAGCUCUCAAGAUGAAGAAGCAUUUGACAAGUCAACUGAAAUACGAGGAACCACUGAGGCAGAAGAAUCUAAAAUACUUGCAUGGCUCGAGUCUUUUGAAGCACCAGACUGGAUUUCAUGUGUUGGAGGAACAAGUCAAGAUGCAAUGACAUCCAAUAUCAUUGUUGCAGCAGCAUUUGCCAUUUGGUAUCCGAGUCUUGUGAAACCAAGUCUUGCCACGCUUAUUGCCCAUCCAUUAAUAAAGUUGGUGAUGGCAAUGAAUGGAAAAUACAGUUCUAUUGCUGCAGAGCUCCUUGCAGAAGGUAUGGAGGACACAUGGAAGGCGUGUAUUGGUCCUGAAAUACCUCGUCUGAUUGCAGAUAUAUUCUUCCAAAUAGAGUGUGUGAGCAGCUCAUCUGCCAACUCAGCUGGACACCAUCCAGCUGUACCAUCUUCCAUUGGAGAAACUUUGGUUGGUAUUCUUCUUCCAAGUUUGGCAAUGACUGAUGUUCUCGGGUUCUUAACCGUUAUAGAAAGCCAAAUUUGGUCUACUGCAUCUGAUUCACCUGUUCAUCUGGUCUCUCUGACAACUCUAAUCAGGGUUGUGCGUGGUUCUCCAAGAUGCUUUGCCCAAUACCUUGACAAGGUGGUUAACUACAUAUUACACACUAUGGACCCUGGUAACUCAGUCAUGCGCAAAACUUGCCUUCAGAGUUCAAUAACAGCAUUAAAGGAAGUUGUGCGUGUAUUUCCAAUGGUAGCUUUUAAUGGCACAUGUACCAGGCUGGCUGUUGGGGAUGCAAUCGGGGAGGUCAACAAUGCUAGCAUUUCAGUGUAUGACAUGCAAAGUCUCUUCCAAUUUUUUUUUUCUUUUUUAACACAGUGUGACAAAGGUAAAGAUUUUGGAUGCAAGUGGGCCUCCUGGACUUCCAACUUUGCUUUCAGGAGCUUCAGAAACAGCAAUUACCACAGUGAUUUCUGCUUUGAGUUUUUCCCCUGAUGGAGAGGGGCUCAUUGCUUUUUCUGAGCAUGGUUUGAUGAUCAGAUGGUGGUCAUUGGGAUCCAUGUGGUGGGAAAAAUUGAACAGAAACCUUGUUCCUGUCCAAUGCACCAAACUAAUAUUUGUUCCUCUAUGGGAAGGCUUCUCUCCCAAUUCCUCUAGGACUAGCAUCAUGGCAAGCAUAUCAGGUCAUGAUAGACAGACCAAUUUGCAGGAGAAUGCUAGAAGUUUGAAUUAUGCAGACAGUUUGAAGAUACUAAUUCAAAAUCUCGACCUCUCUUACCGGCUAGAGUGGGUUGGUGGACGCAAGGUACUUCUUUCGAGGCACGGCAUGGAGUUGGGAACUUUUCCAUUAUAAGAUGAAGCAAAGAGCAGCCUUUAUUGGACAUAUACUUUAGAGGCAAACUGCCAAAGCCUCGAGAGGCAGAUGGCUUGUAUAAGGUUUUCCUUCAAAUUAGCAGAGGUUAUAUAGCAAUCACAGUAAAGAAUUUCUUUUAGGCAGGCAGAUUUUCAUCAUUGUAUGAUUUGUACUUUCAGUUUCAUCUUUCAAGUCCGAUCUCUAAUAUAGGAGAUACAUCAUACAUACUUUGGCAGUGUUGUAUCCUUUAUCACUCUUAUUUCUUUAUUUGGGUUUUUGAGAGGUGGGUAUUGAAAAUGAUUGGAAAAGGAGAAUUUUGCAGUCAUAUAUACCUUCAUAGUUGCUCUGAGAGAUUUUUUGUUUAUUAUUAUAAAACUAUGUACUCACAUACAUAUGUAAGGAUUUAUGAAAAAAUUAUGGAGGAUAUGUAUAACAUAA